rnacentral:lncRNA from 1 species
UUUUUUUUUUUUUUUUGGUAGCUUUGUUUUAGGGCCAUGCAAAGCGUGUAUCGUUUACUCGCAGCGAGGUCGUUGCGUUACGAUCUGGGCCUGGUCUUGGGGGAUUGAGUUAAGAAGAGCCCAGCUACGCCGUCCCAGCCCUAAAAAAUGGAAACUGCUUCACACACAGAGCAUGCGCGUGAUGCUAGUUUAGUCCCACCUCGCCUGCGCUGAGCGGAGCGAGCCGCGAGAGGUGUAUAAAAUGAGAGGCAGGGCAACAAGAGAAUUCAUAGGCCUUUUGGCUAAGAUCAAGUGUAGUAUUUGUUUUUAUCAGUUUAAUAUCUGAUAUAUGGGCCAUGUAUCCACAGUGAUAGAGUGUGUUCAUAAUAAUAGCUUGCUAUUACAUGUGUCGCCUGAGUGUUGCACUAUGAGAGAAUUCCUUAUUUAACAGUCCAAAACCUUUAUUCUCUAUUUGAUAUUGAAAAAAUAAUUCUUCCCUAUCUAACACAACCUUUAAAUUUUAUUUCUAAUAUAACACUUUCAUCCAUUUUUUGUGCAAACAGUGUUAAAUGGCACAUGAAAUGACAAUUCUGCCCUUGAACAUCUAUUCAACCAUUUUCUUUGACAUGUUCAUUCUAUUCGCCAAGCUAGCAUAAGCAAGAUUCCAAGUACGUUCGUACAUACACGGCUAGAGAUGAGCACGUUCUGCUUCUAGGGAAAAGUUAAUCAAGCUGCAUGUGUUUUUGAGCUAGCAAUGCACGUACUACUUGGGUGAAUCGAUCCGGCAUUCUAAAACCAACACUUGAUCACGGGCUCGCUCAACACUCGUCCGCUCCCAUCCGCUGCACCUUGGUCAUUGUUGAGGCAGACCCGCCAUCGAGUACUUUACGACGAACCCCGCAAAAAAAAAAGAGUACUUUACGACGACACUGUCGAACGACGACUAAGUGAAGCAACGUUGAUUGUCUUGGUUUCUGUCCCAAGUCGGCUCAACCCCAUGAUAUACUUUAUGUCGAGACUCACCUUACGAAGCCCGAUGCACUAGAAUGCAAAGUUGGCCUCAGCUCGCUGAUCUAGUGAUCUCCAAGCACGUACCGACGUACGUACAACAAAAAAUAGAAAAUAAACAUGUACGUACACAACAACCUUUGGUUGGAUACUCAAACGCACACACGCGUAGGAGACUUCGGCUGAUUGUCACACGUACGUAUCCUGAGUGGUGAUUUUACUUUAUUGCUUCAAUCCACGGUCUUACAAAGUAUAUGUAUAUAUAGCAGCAGCCUAGGACACGAACCACGUACGUACAACUACAACUUGGUGAUUGAAUGUGUACAAAUGGGACACAAACCACGUACGCUAUUUUGAGCCAUCCCCACCACCCUGCUUCGAGGAGUUUUUGCAGCCAGAACCAAGGGUAAACUUGUCCUUUCACAUUCCAUUUAACACCGUUAGGUCCAAAAAUGGACGAAAGUGUUACAUUGGGAACAAAAUUUAAAGUUGGUGUUAGAUAGAGAAGAAACAUUUUUCCAGUGUUAAAUAGGGAAAUAGAAUUUAAAAUAGUGUUAAACAAGGAAUUCUUUCUUGCACUAUUGCCCUGGCCACCCAACCAAAACUAAUUCAAACUCUUCCAGGCUUCCAGCUUUCUCAGGCUUAGGAUGCUGCAUACAGAACAACUCUUUCCAAAAGUGUAUAUUUUUAGACCUCACCGCUUCAAAUAUAACUGCAGGUAAAAGUUUGAAGAAUUGAAAAUGUCAGAUACGAAUGAUUAUCUAAAAUAAGCCGAGAGAUGAACUGUAUAAGCUGCGAGAAGUUAAUCCCGAAGAAGAGCAUGCCUCAGUUUGAUGACGAUGAUCAGGCUGUUGACUGUAACUCUUAUACAAGUUAAAAAAACUGAGUGCCAACAGUACUUUUUCUAACAGUGUCAAUCAUACCAUUUCAAGGUAUCAUAGGCACUUGCUCGGGGAGAAGUGGUGACGGUGACAGCAAGGUGCAACCUUGUAUACAGCACAUAGCAAGUUGUGCCACUUGUCAGUAGUUCACUCGUUGACAUAAUUCAAAAUUUUCAAUGUUAACACGGUUCUCACUCAGUUGCUACAUGGGAAAUGGAAUCUCCUGCAUCUGGGAUAACGCUUUCCUCUCUUUGCACCACAGAACCAUACUGGACGUGUAAGAGGAAAAAAAUGUGACGCACGGCAAAGUAUACAAAAAUGUGGAUAUCUCUAACCAAGUUCUUCUCAUCAGCGUGUAAUUUUCCCGAGUUCGGGAACUUUGGGCAAGCCAAAUAGUGAGUUUGUGUUCUUUACUUGUGUUCUCUAUUCGACUAUCGCCAUGGGUUCUUCUUUCCAGCCCCUUUGCGCAUUAAACUUGUUUUCGAACUCUGCAGUCAAGAAGAAAGGAAAAGAUGCUAAAGAUCAAACUUGUACUAAAGCUGCGUCAAUUAAUGACGUAUACAUGAUUGUAGGCAAGCUGUAGUGUUGUCUGACUUACAGAUUUCAAUUUCAGUUUCAACUUUCCUCGGACCCUGUUCUUUUGUGGUUUCAGUUUGUAAAUCCUAACCAUCCAGUGCUGGGUUGUAAAAACCUGCAUUAAGCAAUAUGGUACAUGAACACGUUGCAGGUGCAGUCAAGCAAAGCUGUGAGGGGGGGUUCUGGUUUCUAAAUGAUUGGAGGGAAGAGUAGUAGCACUGUACCUCCUCAAAAUGGGUCAGUUUAAAAUGCUUCCUUCCUAUUUCAUAUCUUCUCGCUCUGUCAAAUCCCUUGCCAUCAGUCUCAGCGAAUCUAGAUGCAAAGGAGAACAAAUGUCAAGAAAAUCCAUGAUUGUGAUACAUCAGCAUGGUAACUUCCUUGCACUGACAUACCUGUAAUAAGAAAGCUUGUACAUGAGGCAAUUCAGCAUCGUUGGAGUGCCCUGAGCAUCAACACGGUAGUUGCCAUCCCUCUAUAGAAAUAAUGUAGCAUAAUAACUCAGAAGAAGUCUGAAAUUUCACAUAGUUGAUGGUGCUUUUCUUCCACAUGUUAUACUAGAAUGCAAACUGAUAUUUUUAGUUUUCUACCAUGACACUACCGAAUGAUAUGCACGAUAGUUGCAGAACACAAGUUCACCACUCACAAGGUAAUCCUGUUCCUUGAUGUGAGGGAAUUCACCACCUCCGAUUCGAACCAUCCAGAGGAACUUAUUAAUAUCAUCACUUGGGUAGCCAAUAAGACCUGAAAAUAAAAUCAUCAGGUUUUAUCGGGUCGGGAUUCAGGAAGCACUUUGUUUAGAAUAUUGUUAUUUCUGCAAGUCCAAAACACAUCAACCUCCAAAGACCACAAGCACAUAUUUGACAUCUAAGGAAUUGAAGAUCUCCCAUGCUCCUUUUUCUGGGGAUGACAUUGCUGUCCCAACUGUCGCUAUGUGCGUGUUAUUCCAGGUAUUAUUGUCUACAAUCACAGUCCUGUUGGCCAUUGCAGUUGUCUGAUAACCAUAGUCCCACCAUGACGCAACCUACAGCAAUCAUUGCCAUCUUUCUAUCAGAAUGAUGCAAUUCAAGUGAUCAGAGUAGGUCCAUUCGAAGGCAUACCUUAUCGUCUACUUCUGUGUUAUGGCGCAGCCAUGCAUAAGAUUCACGGAAAUCGUCAUAAACAUGCAACCUGUCGUGUGAACGUGAUGUCAGCACAAUUGAGGGUGCAGAGUAUGCUUCUGCAGCUGCCCAUACACAAUGGAUCUGCAAAAAUGGCAUCGUUAAGUAAUAGCGUCGCUUUUAAUGAGAAUGCUGCUUCCAGUGAGAACAGAUACCUUACCACAUAAAGUCCACAAAGCAUGAUCAGGAACAGUAUACCCAUGGCAGAUGCUUCAGAAGGCAGUACACAAAGCUUCUCCUCCUUUUCGGGCCUAACAGGAGAACUUCCCACCAAUUCUGUUUCCUUCCGACUCUUCUUUGAUGAUCUUUCCUUUGAAAUAGUCCCCAUUUUUUCUUUUUUUAUGUUCGCAUUUUUCGUGGAAGUUGUGAUAGUGGCUGUACUGGAACUCCCUGGGGUACUAUCUCCUGCCUUAAAUUUGACAGGAGAGUACAUCAGUAAACCUUUUGUAGAAACUAAAUCUGGAUAAGAAAAAUAGAAAAAUAGUACUAAUGAAAUGAUCAUACAGUAGGAAGGGUAUCAUCUGAUAUUGGGCGCUGAAAUUUCAUUGAUCGUGUGAGGACGUUAAAAGCUUCUGACAGAGCAAUCCCGGACAAAAUGCACACAGCAGGGGCAAGAACAAGCAUCAGUCGUACCUAACAUUGCACUAACAUCACUAUCAACUGAUAAAUAAAGCAAUACGGUACUGUAUCUUAGCAGUGAUGACUUACCAUUACCCCAGAGAAAUAUACUGAAGUUACCAAGUACAAGACCAAAAAUGAGCUUGCAUCAGAUAAAGGUAAGAAGCAUGACUGCAGGUUGUGUUGCAAUAAAUUAAUUAAAACCAUGCUAAACACGAAGUAAAAUCCAUUUUCCAACAAAACAUGAAUGCUUACUAUGAUCCCAGCAGGAACUAAGAAGGCUAGCACAUUGAUAGCCAUAAAGUAAGAAGGCCAGGUAGGUGGUUGAUGUUCGCUCACGCUAGCAAUGAUAGGGAUGUACUUGCUUGCAUAUGUUCUGUCAGAAUGGAACAAAGCGAAGGAAUUCAAGGCAUCAACUUAUAUAGAAAACAGAAGAAGAAUUCAUCAUAAACAGGAACCAGAAUUAUGUCCAUCCUGUAUACAGAAUAAAUUUCAAGUUAUCAGUACAUCGUGGGUAAUAGAAAGAGUGGAUUCCAUUUUUUACCUUACCCCCUACUUUGAUAUUUUUACGCUAAUUACCCACCCCCGUUUAAUAGCUUUUCAUUCGAAUUACCCCAUGCGACAAAAGUUUUGCCAGUUUUACCCCAUUUAAAGUAUUUUAGGUUGUGGAUAGCUUCUCCAGUGGUUCUUUUGCCAUACAAAGCAUCAAUGGAAUUAUGCCUAGUACAUGCAACACCCAGAAGCUUCGGAACUACUGCACAUAUGAUAAUUGCUUGUACGAUAUGAGCACGAUGCUAAAUCCAAUGGUCUUUAUUUCCUUUGCCCAAAUGCUGCAAGGUCAGAUCCAAAUCAUCAUACAAAUAUCGGAUAAGGCCUGUGGUACAUAUAGCAGUGCUCCAGAAGCAAAUGCCGUGAAGAAGAAUGAGGUGGAAACAAUGAACAAGGAGCUGCGUGACAUGAAGAAGUAAUUUAUCAAGGCAAAGUGGUACGUACGUACAUCUGCCGACCGUGAGAAAAAACUGUAUUCUAGCCAUUUGACCGGUUCAGGCACGGGAAAAGAUGCCAGAAAAAAAAUGCAAUGUGGCACGCCAUGUGUGCCUGAUGACCAGGGCUCACCUGAUAGAUCACUAAAUGGGAUAAAAACUCGUAAUUUUUUUAAAUGGGGGCAAAACUUUUACUAAAUGGGGUAAUCCGGAUGAAAAACUGUUAAAUGGGGUAAUUUCUGUCAAAAACGUCAGAGUAUGGAGUAAAAACUGGAAUUCACUCUAAUAGAAAUCACAAUUCUUUUGUACUAAUGCGGAAAUCUAGAAGGUAGCAUAUCUCUUUAGAAACUCCAAAUCCAGAGGAAAGGUGGUUCCAAUUAAAAUUGUCAUGUUUAUUGUUAACCAGAGUGAAGGCUUCGUUAUCAGUGAAACAAAAACAAGAACAAGUCUUGCGCCAAACAAAUACUUUAUGAGAACUUACGGGUCAAGUAGACUCAAACUGCGCCCACUCCAACCUUUUGUUGGGCUAGAUGCGACCAAUGCAGCAAGUAUCGCUACUACAGCGAAACAAAGGGCUCUGCAGGAAUCCUUGAUAUUAGAAUGUGUACAGAACAUCUACUUUGUUUUGACUUAUGAGAAACAAAUGUUUGGUCUGUCAAUAUUAUGAACCAGUAUCAAGUGUAACACGUCUUUUAACGCACAUUAACUGGUUUUGACAUCAGAAACUUACAAGCCAACCGUUAGUACGAAUGUCAUGGCCACUUUGAACAGCCGAGGAGUUAAAAGUCCUUUGAUGUAAUACACAAGAGCAACCACAUGGAGGAUUAUAAACACCUGGAAUUCAAUCAUCAUUUUCAGAAAUAAAGAGAAAGCAAUUACUCCCUCCGAUCCAUAUUACUUGUCACUCAAACGGAUGUAUCUAGACGUAUUUCAGUGCUAAAUACAUCCAUUUGAGCGACAAGUAAUAUGGAUUGGAGGGAGUAGCAAUUUUUUAACAGAUAUACAAAAAUUGGGUGAAAUCAGACAAUUUAAGGGGGGAAAAGGAACACAUGCGUAGGUAGAUAAUCAAUUGGUGUACCAGAAAUGAUGCAAAGUGCUCUGAUGUCAAUACUGCAUUAAAACCAACCACAGGUACCAAUGCUGCCAGAAGUGUUCCCAGUACAACCUGCAUGGUGCUAAUCAUGAUAAUGAGAAUCUGUGCUGUUCUUUUGUGCAUAACCAAUUGGUAAGCCAUUAGACUUAUCGACUUACAAGGGGAGCAUAAGCAACAUAAAGUCGUGAAGAAUAACGACCAGUUACAAUACACAGGAGAACAUGCAUUGGGAUAAGGUUGAUGAUGAAUGUGUAGCCUCCCCAGGAACAGACCUGAAAAGCGGAAAUGCAGUAUAAUGUGAAGAAUUUUCUGAAACUUGUAGCUAUUCUAAACAUCUUCGAAUAGAAACUUACCAUGUAAAAGUAAGAGAGAGCAUUAAGUGUUGCAUAAAAGAGUGACCCCGUGUUUAGUGUCUGCAUAGUCAUCAUUAUGUUAUCUUCUUGAAGGCACAAAGAGAAGGUUAAAAUGAACAAGGCCUAAAAUUCUAAGGACGCUUUGAGAACCUAACCUUUACAUAUAGAUAAAAUGUGAAUAUUAAAGCAAAUAUUGCUACAGCUUCGUUAUCGUAGCUGCCUGCAACAGAUCUUGAGAUGUAUGAGGGGACCUGCGUAUUAGGAGGAAUGAUAAGUAGUUUCUCGAUCAAGUGCUAUUUACAAGAUAGUGUAUAAGGAUAUAGUAGCAGUAGGUAGGCAUAUUUAUAAAAAAAGGAAAGAUGAUGUCUCAUGGUCGCAGAUCCCAAAUAAAUGAGAAAAACACAGCCUUACCCCAUGGCUCAAUGAUCAUUAGGAUUUUUAUUCACAGGAAAUUUCAACUUUCAUAAUUCAGAAAUAUUUUGGUUCUCAGCUUUGUGUUCCAGUCCCUAUUUUUCAUAUUUUCCCAGGCCAGGCCAUUCUUGGACCUCAACUUUUUUAAUGAAGCUGCUUCGAUCAUUCAGCUCUCAGUUUUUAGAUACUGAUUCUUGUGAUUAAACAGUUGUAAAAUCUCUGAAUUUUCCUGUUUUUGACAUGUAAGAAAUGAACCUUGUCGGUUACAGAAGGUUUUUCAGAUAAAUAGUGAAGUCGAAGAACCAAAUAAGCUCACUUGAAAUGAUUAGGACGUAAAAUCAACCGGAGCUCGAACCAGAGGACCAAAAUAUGACUCCUUUGUUUGGAAAUGCCAAAUUCAACUCCUAAACAUUGAUCGGCUGAGAAGUGAUUUGACAACUAUUCCAGAAAAGAGAUAAUUGAGAAUAACCUAACGAAUGAGGAUUGGGAUGUGAAAAAGUUAUUCCGCUAGGAAGAAUGAAGACACAAAUUUACAAAAGCUUUUGCUCAUACAGUUGGAAAUAUGGAAGCAAUUUUUACAAAGCUAACAGAAAUAUCGCAUCAAAGUAUCCCCAUUCUCUAAUUUACCCACAAACGAAUGGACGAACAGACCUAGCCUACAUUUGUCCAUUGGAACUCACAGCAAAGUACCAAUACACAAGUGUAAGCAGCAAGGUAUAAAAUGAGAAAUAUAAAUCAGGUAGGCAUAUAAAAAAAACUUAAUUUUCUCAUGGCCAAACUGAGCAGUCCCUCCAUAAAGAAAAGAUAAAAGAAACAGAGAAUACCAUCGCUAAGAUAGUUGCUGCCAUUAAACCAGCCCCAUGACCCUUCGCUUCCUGGAAGGUAAAGUACAUAGUUACUACAGAACUUCUGUGGUUGUAGAACUAGUGUAAGCACAUGUGAUUCUUAUAUCAGGAAAACAACCUUUGUCAACAGAUAGGUUGCCCAGGAAGCAUUUGCCGAAAAAAUUGGAGCGGUGAACACGCAGACAGUCUCCACCGACAAUGGGAUGUUGAGGGAGUUGAGCAACCUGUACCAACCAAACACUCGAGGCGCGAUCGCAGUUUUUCAAAGCUAUCCAACAACGCAUUGCUCUAUGCUACGGAUUAUGGAAUGAAACAUUUUACAUACCACCAUAUCGUGCCGGCCGUCAGUGUCAAGCCAGGAUAGACAGUGCCACCAAUAACACGUCCGAGGGGGUACCUAAUAUACAGAUAACAGUAUGAGACGAUGAACAUUCAUAACGCACGCUGAAUGAUUCAUGUGUCCUGGCAAGUGGCAACCAUACCAUGUUCGGUCGUCAAACCAGUUCCAAAACUCGUAGAUUCCACUCUUUGACAAAAACUGAGACAAGGCAGGGAAACAUAUAGCGAAUAAAAGAUAUAAUCCUUUUUGGAACACCAAGAGUUGUAGGAAAAUGUAAGCAGCAAAUUACACAAAAGAACACAUCCCAAGUCCCCAAUCAUAUGCAGAGGCCAGGAUGCUUGCCCUUACAUUGGGGGAAAAAAACCUAUAUUCGUCCCAAUUUUCUCACCGCUUAAUACCACUACCAUGUACUAGCACGUGAAAGUAAACGAAGCUUCCUACAACCGUAGUUCCCAAAAUUCGAAUGCGAUGACGCUCCGAACAAACACAGCAACGCGUCCUGCUACGCCUUGAGCUCAGUUUCACAGUGCUGCUACACUCCACACGCACCUGAGCAACGGACAGUGGGCAACAAUGCGACGCCGCCGAAACUGACCUGAGUGACGCGGUAGUUGAAGUAGGGAUCGAACUCGUGGAUCACGCUCUCGUACUUGAUCACCUGCGGCACACCACCACCACCAGGGACAUGUGAGGCGGCCAAAGAGUUGGCCAUAGGAUCUAGAGAACGUUGGCGUGGAUCUUACGGAGAAGAGGCGGAUGGAGAAGGCGAGGACGCCGAUGAGGAGGAGGGUGAAAGCACACAGCACGCCGCUCAGGGCGUUCCGGAGUCGGCCGCCGCCGCCGGCCGCCAUGGAGAUGGACCCGGCCUCCAGCUCCGCCAUGGCGGCUCAGCAGAGCGGUGGAGUUGGGGGAGCAGACCAAGGAAGGCUGUUGGUGUAGCUGCUGUCUUGGUGCCCUGCAGUCAAGCCGCUGCGUACCGUAGCAGUGGAGUACUGAGCUUGUUUGGCGAUUUGGCUCUACGAAGUUUCCAGAUCGAAUUCACUGGUGAUCAUUAUUAUAUUUAUUUAGAAAGAAAAGAAAACGCCCAUCCGAUUAUAUGCUGGCUGGCUACGAGUUGCUAAAGCUCACCAAAAAGCGGCUAAUGUCUUGCCCUCAGUCCAGUGAAACUUUUGUCUACACAAACAAAAAUGGUAUUCACAAUCACACCUGACAACCAGUCAACGUGGACAUCCUUGUGCACAAGGGUCAAAUUUAGAAGAUUUGCUCUAUCCAAUAAUAAAAACAUUUAUGGAGGAAGGAACAUUCUCCCAGUGACAAUGGGCCAAGUCGUUCAGAUUUUUAUUUUUUUGAGCAGAAAUACUCCUUUGAACUAGAACCACUACAAAAAUUAUGGAACGGACGGAGUACUUUCUUUUCCACAGGUCCACUGCAUUUUAGAAAUAAGCACACUAGAUUUUAUGCAACAACAUGCUUGUUUUUUACCCAGGAACACAGUUACAAGCAUCGAUUCGUAUAAAAAACAACAGACAGAUGAGAUCACCAAAGCUAAAAACAAUAUAUGAUACAUCUAUGGCAGAGCCGCUGAACCAGAGCGAACGAAUUCAAACUUUCUCAACAACAAAAUAGGGAGCCUGAUAAUGCAACUGCGGAGUAACUCCACCAAACUGGAGCUGACACACCACCAGAUACAACCAGAGUUCAAGCUUCUUCAAGAAUGGCACGGGCAAGAUUUGAUCCCAAAGCCAAUCUGACAGAGCUC